GAUGAACGCUGGCGGCGUGCCUAAUACAUGCAAGUCGAGCGAACAUACUAGGACCUUGCUCCUUUGAAGUUAGCGGCGGACGGGUGAGUAACACAUGGAUAACCUACCUGUAAGAAUGGGAUAACUUCGGGAGGCCUGAGCCAUGAACGCAUAAGAUAUUGAACCACAUGGUUCAAUAGUGAAAGACGGUUUUGCUGACCCUUAUAGUUGGAUCGCCGACGCAUUAGCUAGUUGGGAAGUUAAAGGCUUACCAAGGCGACGAUGCGUAGCCGACUUGAGAGGUUGAUCGGCCACACUGGAACUGAGACACGGCCCAAACUCCUACGGGAGGCAGCAGUAGGGAAUCUUCCGCAAUGGGCGAAAGCCUGACGGAGCAACGCCGCGUGAGUGAUGAAGGUCUUCGGAUCGUAAAACUCUGUUAUUAGGGAAGAACAAGUGUGUAAGUAACUAUGCACGUCUCGACGGUACCUAAUCAGAAAGCCACGGCUAACUACGUG
rnacentral:rRNA from 1 species